CUGCUUUGGCAGCACAUCUAUUAAAAUUGGAGCAGGGAGAUUAGCAUGGCCCCUGCACAAGGGCAACAUGCAAAUUCAUGCAGCGUUCCCUGUUAAA
ensembl:snRNA U6 U6 spliceosomal RNA